AAUACCGCAUAGAUCCAAGAACCGCAGGUUCUUGGCUGAAAGAUGGCGUAAGCUAUCGCUUUUGGAUGGACCCGCGGCGUAUUAGCUAGUUGGUGAGGUAAUGGCUCACCAAGGCGAUGAUACGUAGCCGAACUGAGAGGUUGAUCGGCCACAUUGGGACUGAGACACGGCCCAAACUCCUACGGGAGGCAGCAGUAGGGAAUCUUCCACAAUGGACGCAAGUCUGAUGGAGCAACGCCGCGUGAGUGARGAAGGCUUUCGGGUCGUAAAACUCUGUUGUUGGAGAAGAAUGGUCGGCAGAGUAACUGUUGUCGGCGUGACGGUAUCCAACCAGAAAGCCACGGCUAACUACGUGCCAGCAGCCGCGGUAAUACGUAGGUGGCAAGCGUUAUCCGGAUUUAUUGGGCGUAAAGCGAGCGCAGGCGGUUUUUUAAGUCUGAUGUGAAAGCCCUCGGCUUAACCGAGGAAGCGCAUCGGAAACUGGGAAACUUGAGUGCAGAAGAGGACAGUGGAACUCCAUGUGUAGCGGUGAAAUGCGUAGAUAUAUGGAAGAACACCAGUGGCGAAGGCGGCUGUCUGGUCUGUAACUGACGCUGAGGCUCGAAAGCAUGGGUAGCGAACAGGAUUAGAUACCCUGGUAGUCCAUGCCGUAAACGAUGAAUGCUAGGUGUUGGAGGGUUUCCGCCCUUCAGUGCCGCAGCUAACGCAUUAAGCAUUCCGCCUGGGGAGUACGACCGCAAGGUUGAAACUCAAAGGAAUUGACGGGGGCCCGCACAAGCGGUGGAGCAUGUGGUUUAAUUCGAAGCAACGCGAAGAACCUUACCAGGUCUUGACAUCUUUUGAUCACCUGAGAGAUCAG
rnacentral:rRNA from 1 species